GGAAACUCAAGAAGAAGAAGAAGAAACAAUCAGCUGUACGUGUGCAGGAUAUGGCCCAGUUUUCGCAUCGAGUAUAGAAUCCAGAAGAAACGAAAUCAAGAAAAGAGAGAAGAAGUGUAGAAGGGAGAUCUCUCCCUUUCAUGAUAUAUAAUAAACAGAGGACAUGAAUUGGUUUUCUGUAAUUCUCUUCUUCCUCUUGUUGAUGGUUGUCUUUACUCCUUCUUCUGCUUCCAGUUUUAUUUCAGAUUCUGUUUUUCAAUCCCAUGCUUCUACUGGCAGGAGUCUGCUUCAGGCUAAGAAAGCCUGCCCAGUAAGCUUUGAGUUUAUGAAUUAUACAGUCAUCACAAGCCAAUGUAAAGGACCCCAGUAUCCUCCUGAUCGCUGUUGUAAAGCAUUUAAGGACUUCGCUUGCCCUUACGUGGAUGUUUUGAACGACUUGACCAGUGAUUGUGCAUCAACCAUGUUCACCUACAUUAACCUCAAUGGGAAUUACCCUCCUGGUCUUUUUGCUAAUGAGUGCCAGGAAGGGAAGGAGGGGCUUGCGUGCCCUGCAACACCACCAUCACAACCAGCUAAUGAUAGUGGAAGUCAGAUUAUUCGUGAGCCAGUCCUGCUGCUGAUACU
rnacentral:misc_RNA from 1 species